AAACUUCUGGUUUUCCAUUAUAGAUUGGAUAGAAUUAUGACAUCAUCUUGCCUUUCAGUGCAAAAGAGGUCAUUUUAGGUGUGUCUGAGAAUUUUUCAACAGUAAAACAGUUAAUAAUAUCUUGUUGUUACUUAAAUACUAUAUAUACAAAUGUAGAUGUAAGAGCAUAUUGCCCACAAAAUGUGGUGGGAUAGAAUAUUUAUAGUAUUGGAUUAAAAUAGAAGAAUACC
rnacentral:lncRNA from 1 species